CAAACUUGUGGGUAAUAAUGUCCUCCUUGACAAUCUUUUUCAAAGAUCUUCCCCAGGACUGAAGUCAGACUGACUGGACUAUAGUUGGCAGUGGGCAGAGUUGGGGCA